UCCAGACUCCUACGGGAGGCAGCAGUGGGGGAUAUUGCACAAUGGGGGGAACCCUGAUGCAGCGACGCCGCGUGGGUGAAGGAGCGUUUCGGCGCGUAAAGCCCUAUCGGCAGGGAAGAAGAUGACGGUACCUGACCAAGAAGCCCCGGCUAACUACGUGCCAGCAGCCGCGGUAAUACGGAGGAUGCGAGCGUUAUCCGGAUUUAUUGGGUUUAAAGGGUGCGUAGGCGGACUGUUAAGUCAGCGGUAAAAGCCCGGGCCCCAACCCCGGCGAGCCGUUGAAACUGGCUGUCUUGAGAUGUCGAGAGGUAUGCGGAAUGCGCAGUGUAGCGGUGAAAUGCUUAGAUAUUGCGCAGAACUCCGAUUGCGAAGGCAGCAUACCGGCGGCGAUCUGACGCUGAGGCACGAAAGCGUGGGUAUCGAACAGGAUUAGAUACCCCAGUA
rnacentral:rRNA from 1 species